rnacentral:lncRNA from 11 species
UGUCAUCCGAGAUGCCACAUAUUAGCUACGCUGCUAAAAACUGAUACAGGACCUACGUUUGAUAGGACUACUAGCACCCCUGACGCAAAUGAAAGGGUUGCUUGUGGAGACAGGAAAUGAAGGAAGCAAUGCUUUUGGCCCAGCUUUUGCUUAGCUUUGUUAUGAAGAUUGAAAGCAAACGAAGAGGGCCAAUCAGGG